rnacentral:rRNA from 1 species
AUGCACACUCAAAUCAUGGACAUGGCCUCUCCUCCGAGCGGAGCCUCCAGUGAGCAGGACGGCAUCCCCGUCGUCGACCUGGCCGUCCUCCUCAACGGCGACGCCGGCGAACGGUCGCAGGCGAUCCGGCACCUCGGCCGGGCGUGCCAACACUGGGGCUUCUUCAUGGUGACCAACCAUGGGGUGCCCGAGGCUCUCCAGAGCGCGAUGAUGGACGCGUGCAGGGAGCUGUUCGGCCUACCACCGGAGGAAAAUGCGGAGUUCAUGGACGCCGGCCCCAUGGACCCCGUGCGCGUCGGCACGGGCUUCAACUCCGCCGUCGACGGCGCCAGGUACUGGCGGGACUACGUCAAGAUGUUCGCGCACCCCGAGCUCCACUGCCCCGCCAAGCCCGACGCCCUGCGGGGCGUGGCCGCGGAGUACGCGGCGCGCACCAGGGCCCUGCUGCUGGACCUCACGGCGGCCAUCUCCGAGAGCCUGGGGCUCCACGCCGGCCGCGUCGCUGAGCGCCUCGACCUGGGGUCCUGCUUCCAGAUCCUCGUCGGCAACCAUUACCCGCCGUGCGCUGCCGGCCCGGGCGACGACGACGAUGGGGCUGUCGGGCUGCCGGCUCACUCUGACCACGGCCUCCUCACUCUGCUCUGCCAGAACGGCGUCGAUGGCCUCCAGGUCAAGCACGACGGCCGGUGGCUCCUCGCCAAGCCCAUCCCCGGCGCAUUCUUCGUCAUCGCGGGCGAUCAGCUCGAGAUUGUGAGCAAUGGAAGGUAUAAGGGCGUGCUCCACCGCGCAUUGGUCGACCGCGAGCAGGCGAGGAUGUCGUGCGUGAGCCUCAUCGGGCCGUGCCUGGACGCCGUCGUCGAGCCAGUGCCGGAGCUGGCCGUGCCACCCCUGGGUCUCGGCCUCGAGUUCAGGGGGGUCAAGUACAGGGACUACAUGGAACACCAGCAGAGCAACAAGCUCAACGACAAGGGAGCACUGGACCUCGUUCGGGUGCAGAAACGCCCAGCAAUUCUUUAUACCUAA